GUGGUGUUCUCAUCAAAACCAAGGCACAGUUGCUGAAUCCCGAUGAAACAUAUCUUGGACUAAACCUAGGCUGCAGGCAAGUUGGGAGCUUUAGUUUCAGCUCAUCUGUAAUCAGAGUAGCCUGGAUAAGCAUACUGAAGUUUGACCAGCAGCAAUAAGAGAGGGCUG